AAUCCAUAGGUUAAUGAGGCGAACCGGGGGAACUGAAACAUCUAAGUACCCCGAGGAAAAGAAAUCAACCGAGAUUCCCCCAGUAGCGGCGAGCGAACGGGGAGGAGCCCAGAGCCUGAAUCAGCAUGUGUGUUAGUGGAAGCGUCUGGAAAGGCGCGCGAUACAGGGUGACAGCCCCGUACACAAAAGCGCAUGUGCUGUGAGCUCGAUGAGUAGGGCGGGACACGUGGUAUCCUGUCUGAAUAUGGGGGGACCAUCCUCCAAGGCUAAAUACUCCUGACUGACCGAUAGUGAACCAGUACCGUGAGGGAAAGGCGAAAAGAACCCCGGCGAGGGGAGUGAAAAAGAACCUGAAACCGUGUACGUACAAGCAGUGGGAGCACCCUUUGGGUGUGACUGCGUACCUUUUGUAUAAUGGGUCAGCGACUUAUAUUCUGUAGCAAGGUUAACCGAAUAGGGGAGCCGGAGGGAAACCGAGUCUUAACCGGGCGUUAAGUUGCAGGGUAUAGACCCGAAACCCGGUGAUCUAGCCAUGGGCAGGUUGAAGGUUGGGUAACACUAACUGGAGGACCGAACCGACUAAUGUUGAAAAAUUAGCGGAUGACCUGUGGCUGGGGGUGAAAGGCCAAUCAAACCGGGAGAUAGCUGGUUCUCCCCGAAAGCUAUUUAGGUAGCGCCUCGUGAAUUCAUCUCCGGGGGUAGAGCACUGUUUCGGCUAGGGGGCCAUCCCGGCUUACCAACCCGAUGCAAACUGCGAAUACCGGAGAAUGUUAUCACGGGAGACACACGGCGGGUGCUAACGUCCGUCGUGAAGAGGGAAACAACCCAGACCGCCAGCUAAGGUCCCAAAGUCAUGGUUAAGUGGGAAACGAUGUGGGAAGGCCCAGACAGCCAGGAUGUUGGCUUAGAAGCAGCCAUCAUUUAAAGAAAGCGUAAUAGCUCACUGGUCGAGUCGGCCUGCGCGGAAGAUGUAACGGGGCUAAACCAUGCACCGAAGCUGCGGCAGCGACACUGUGUGUUGUUGGGUAGGGGAGCGUUCUGUAAGCCUGUGAAGGUGUGUCGUGAGGCAUGCUGGAGGUAUCAGAAGUGCGAAUGCUGACAUAAGUAACGAUAAAGCGGGUGAAAAGCCCGCUCGCCGGAAGACCAAGGGUUCCUGUCCAACGUUAAUCGGGGCAGGGUGAGUCGACCCCUAAGGCGAGGCCGAAAGGCGUAGUCGAUGGGAAACGGGUUAAUAUUCCCGUACUUGGUGUUACUGCGAAGGGGGGACGGAGAAGGCUAUGUUGGCCGGGCGACGGUUGUCCCGGUUUAAGCGUGUAGGUGUGUGUUCCAGGUAAAUCCGGUUCACUUUAACACUGAGGCGUGACGACGAGGCACUACGGUGCUGAAGCAACAAAUGCCCUGCUUCCAGGAAAAGCCUCUAAGCAUCAGGUAACAUCAAAUCGUACCCCAAACCGACACAGGUGGUCAGGUAGAGAAUACCAAGGCGCUUGAGAGAACUCGGGUGAAGGAACUAGGCAAAAUGGUGCCGUAACUUCGGGAGAAGGCACGCUGACACGUAGGUGAAGUGAUUUACUCAUGGAGCUGAAGUCAGUCGAAGAUACCAGCUGGCUGCAACUGUUUAUUAAAAACACAGCACUGUGCAAACACGAAAGUGGACGUAUACGGUGUGACGCCUGCCCGGUGCCGGAAGGUUAAUUGAUGGGGUCAGCGCAAGCGAAGCUCCUGAUCGAAGCCCCGGUAAACGGCGGCCGUAACUAUAACGGUCCUAAGGUAGCGAAAUUCCUUGUCGGGUAAGUUCCGACCUGCACGAAUGGCGUAAUGAUGGCCAGGCUGUCUCCACCCGAGACUCAGUGAAAUUGAACUCGCUGUGAAGAUGCAGUGUACCCGCGGCAAGACGGAAAGACCCCGUGAACCUUUACUAUAGCUUGACACUGAACAUUGAGCCUUGAUGUGUAGGAUAGGUGGGAGGCUUUGAAGUGUGGACGCCAGUCUGCAUGGAGCCGACCUUGAAAUACCACCCUUUAAUGUUUGAUGUUCUAACGUGGACCCGUUACCCGGGUUGCGGACAGUGUCUGGUGGGUAGUUUGACUGGGGCGGUCUCCUCCUAAAGAGUAACGGAGGAGCACGAAGGUUGGCUAAUCCUGGUCGGACAUCAGGAGGUUAGUGCAAUGGCAUAAGCCAGCUUGACUGCGAGCGUGACGGCGCGAGCAGGUGCGAAAGCAGGUCAUAGUGAUCCGGUGGUUCUGAAUGGAAGGGCCAUCGCUCAACGGAUAAAAGGUACUCCGGGGAUAACAGGCUGAUACCGCCCAAGAGUUCAUAUCGACGGCGGUGUUUGGCACCUCGAUGUCGGCUCAUCACAUCCUGGGGCUGAAGUAGGUCCCAAGGGUAUGGCUGUUCGCCAUUUAAAGUGGUACGCGAGCUGGGUUUAGAACGUCGUGAGACAGUUCGGUCCCUAUCUGCCGUGGGCGCUGGAGAACUGAGGGGGGCUGCUCCUAGUACGAGAGGACCGGAGUGGACGCAUCACUGGUGUUCGGGUUGUCAUGCCAAUGGCACUGCCCGGUAGCUAAAUGCGGAAGAGAUAAGUGCUGAAAGCAUCUAAGCACGAAACUUGCCCCGAGAUGAGUUCUCCCUGAGACUUAAAGUCUCC
rnacentral:rRNA from 1 species